GAUGAACGCUAGCGGCAGGCCUAACACAUGCAAGUCGAGGGAGAAGCCCUUUCGGGGGCAGAAACCGGCGCACGGGUGCGUAACGCGUAUGCAACCUACCUUUCACAGGGGGAUAGCCCGAAGAAAUUUGGAUUAAUACCCCAUAAUAUUAUUGGAUGGCAUCAUUUGAUAAUUAAAACUGCGGUGGUGAAAGAUGGGCAUGCGUCCUAUUAGCUAGUUGGAGUGGUAACGGCACCCCAAGGCUACGAUAGGUAGGGGUCCUGAGAGGGAGAUCCCCCACACUGGUACUGAGACAGGGACCAGACUCCUACGGGAGGCAGCAGUGAGGAAUAUUGAUCAAUGGUCGGAAGAUUGAACCAGCCAUGCCGCGUGCAGGAAGAAUGCCUUAUGGGUUGUAAACUGCUUUUAUAUGGGAAGAAUAAGGCGUACGUGUACGUUGAUGACGGUACCAUAUGAAUAAGCAUCGGCUAACUCCGUG
rnacentral:rRNA from 1 species